rnacentral:tRNA from 1 species
AAAAAAGCCGGAAAAGCUCAGUUGGUAGAGCAGAGGACUGAAAAUCCUCGUGUCA